rnacentral:rRNA from 1 species
GAUGAACGCUGGCGGCGUGCCUAAUACAUGCAAGUCGAGCGAGCAGACGAGGAGCUUGCUCCUCUGACGUUAGCGGCAGACGGGUGAGUAACACGUGGAUAACCUACCUAUAAGACUGGUAUAACUUCGGGAAACCGGAGCUAAUACCGGAUAAUAUAUUGAACCGCAUGGUUCAAUAGUGAAAGACGGUUUUGCUGUCACUUAUAGAUGGAUCCGCGCCGCAUUAGCUAGUUGGUAAGGUAACGGCUUACCAAGGCGACGAUGCGUAGCCGACCUGAGAGGGUGAUCGGCCACACUGGAACUGAGACACGGUCCAGACUCCUACGGGAGGCAGCAGUAGGGAAUCUUCCGCAAUGGGCGAAAGCCUGACGGAGCAACGCCGCGUGAGUGAUGAAGGUCUUCGGAUCGUAAAACUCUGUUAUUAGGGAAGAACAAAUGUGUAAGUAACUAUGCACGUCUUGACGGUACCUAAUCAGAAAGCCACGGCUAACUACGUG